rnacentral:rRNA from 1 species
UGUAGUCAUAUGCUUGUCUCAAAGAUUAAGCCAUGCAUGUCUAAGUAUAAGCAAUUAUACCGCGAAACUGCGAAUGGCUCAUUAAAUCAGUUAUCGUUUAUUUGAUAGUACCUUACUACAUGGAUAACCGUGGUAAUUCUAGAGCUAAUACAUGCUGAAAAUCCCGACUUCGGAAGGGAUGUAUUUAUUAGAUUAAAAACCAAUGCCCUUCGGGGCUCUCUGGUGAUUCAUAAUAACUUCUCGAAUCGCACGGCCUUGUGCCGGCGAUGGUUCAUUCAAAUUUCUGCCCUAUCAACUUUCGACGGCUGGGUCUUGGCCAGCCGUGGUGACAACGGGUAACGGAGGGUUAGGGCUCGACCCCGGAGAAGGAGCCUGAGAAACGGCUACCACAUCCAAGGAAGGCAGCAGGCGCGCAAAUUACCCAAUCCCGACACGGGGAGGUAGUGACAAUAAAUACUGAUACAGGGCUCUUUCGGGUCUCGUAAUUGGAAUGAGUACAAUUUAAAUCCCUUAACGAGGAACAAUUGGAGGGCAAGUCUGGUAAUCG